rnacentral:lncRNA from 1 species
GAGCCAAUUUUUUUAACACAAUCCCAUUUUAUAUGUUAUAUAUCUUUGUAAGAGGAUAUAAGAUAUACAGGUCACUUGGUAGUCUAGUUUAUGAGAUAAAUGACUAAAAGAAAAAGACAAGUAUCAAAGUUGGAGUAAAGAAAAAGGAGAAAAGCCCUACAAAAAUGGAGCAUUACUUGAAAUGGGCACAAGCUAUAGCAUCAGCUUGGGUUUUCAUGUUAUUGGUCGGUCUCCUCCGUUGUUGUCUCAACACACAACGUCAACGCCGACACGGCGAUGAAAGCAGCAGCAACGGCGGCUGUUCUUGUGACGGUGGAUACCUCGGUGUUUGAUAGCAAUGCUACUGCUGCUGGUUUCCCUAUCUUAAUGAACAAUGUCUGGUUUUAUAUACAACUUGUGUCAAUUUUUGGUGAUAAAAUGUUUUCAAAUGGUUUGGUUUAUAGAGUUUUCAUGUAAAUUAUGAAUUCAAUGAAUCUAGAAUUUGUUGAUAUACGUAUUAAUGGAAGUCAAGAUGGAGAGGAUGGUAUUUUGGUACCGAAAAUAGAGAAAAAGCCCCUCAAAUGAAGUGUUAAAGGUUACUUAAACUAUGAGUAUUUCGGGUCGGAUCCCGGGUCGGAUUCUUAUAUAUAUUUUUAUAGUUAUAUAACAGAAUUCUUUUUUGUAAAUUUCAUUUUUCUAUUCUACUUCUCAUGAAUUUCUUUGUUAUAAACUGUUUUCUGCCUUAGAACUCG